UUUCCUUCAGUCUCCAUGUUCAAUAAGUAAUGAGACAAAGGUUUGUCUCUGAACGUCACCUGGGGAAACAGUGGAAAGAGUCCAUCGACCCUUACUGGCAGGCAGGAAACAGCAGAAAGGUGAACCUUGUUCCACAUCAACAGCUGAGAAAGUGAAACCAGGUCAGCUGUGGAAUCCACGGUAACUGCAGUGAAACCAACUAACUGCAGCUGCUGUGCUCAAGAAGAAGCAACAAGUUUCAGAUCCAGCGUCUAAAACUACAGGAGUGCGCUGAGGCCACCGACAUUCCUGUCACUGGCAUUUGACCCAUACUGGAGAAGAAGCUUCACUACCUACACAGCACACACAUAUCACCUCUUGUUAGCCUGUAGAUUUUGAUACUGUACAAAAAUAACAAUGAAAUCCAAACAUUACAAUGUCAAUGCUCCUGUGUUCACUGGAGGCACUCUUGUUCCAUCAGCAUCCAACAAAGCUGAUGAACGAUUUAUUCAGUUUAUUACAAAAUCCCCUAGUAUGCCUUUUCCACUAACAUGGAACGGGCUCCGGUCUGGUUCGCACACCAGUGUUUAGAACAUUUCAACCAAAAAUAAUCUGGUUCAGAACCUGAAAAGCUGGUUCUCAGCUGGAACCAAAAAAUAGCAGGUUUUCCUCUGGAAGGAAGUGAGGUCAACAAAGUAUGUAUAGUGAGGCCUGUUACAAUAAUUACAUUAUUGAAUGCUGACCUAGCUAAUACCCCUUGUGUUUACAUGCAUGUUUGUUUCAGUGCUAGAAUAACCAGCCUCAUGAAUGAACAGGAAAAUUACUAUUAUUAAACUAUUAUAACUCUUUGAAAGGGUGCAUUGGCAUUAUAGCAGUGGCAUAAAAUGGUCUUAAAAUGAUAAUAAUAUUGUUAAUCGCAGUUAUUUUUGGGACAAUAUAUUGUCCAACAAAGUAGUUAUCAUAACAGGCAAAUUAAACCUGUUUCUGAUCUGUAUAUGGCAAUUUAUAAACCACUGUCUCAUCACCAACAGCAGAAUAAUACAUUAUUAUUAUUUAGUACAUCAUAUAUAUUUCAAGUAAAAGGCCUUCUUUUUAAAAGGAAGGACAAACAAUUUUAAUAUUUACAAGAUCAAACUAAAAUCUAUUUAAAUAUAAGGUAGAGGAACACUGUAAUCCAGUGAGAAAAAGUGAAAGAAAGUGAAAGAAGAGCUGUAAGAGCUGUGCAGUAUACAUGGGAAUAAAUGACGGUAUAUAUAUUUGAAUACAUUUCUCACCUUUUCCCUGAUGGUCUGAAUAAAUCAUUAAAUUUGUUGUUAGUCUUCAUUUCAAACUCUGAAAACAUCACACUCUCUAUGGACAUGUAGAAAGUGUCUCUCCAUCACCUGAUAGUGUCCAGUGGUAACGGCAUC